GAGGAAUAUUGGUCAAUGGGCGGAAGCCUGAACCAGCCAUGCCGCGUGCGGGAAGGAGGCCCUAUGGGCUGUGAACCGCUUUUGCCUGGGGGCAAUAAGGGCGUCGCGCACGUCCGAUGAGAGUACCAGGCGAAUAAGCAUCGGCUAACUCCGUGCCAGCAGCCGCGGUAAUACGGGGGAUGCGAGCGUUAUCCGGAUUCAUUGGGUUUAAAGGGUGCGUAGGCUGUGCGUCAAGGCGGGGGUGAAAUUCCGGUGCUCAACACCGGGGCUGCCCUGGAUACUGUCGCGCUGGAGUGCGGAUGCCGCCGGAGGAAUGAGUGGUGUAGCGGUGAAAUGCUUAGAUAUCACUCAGAACACCGAUUGCGAAGGCAUCUGGCGAAUCCGUAACUGACGCUGAGGCACGAAAGCGUGGGGAUAGAAC
rnacentral:rRNA from 1 species